rnacentral:rRNA from 1 species
CACGUAGGGUGCGAGCGUUGUCCGGAAUUAUUGGGCGUAAAGAGCUCGUAGGCGGUGUGUCGCGUCGGCCGUGAAAACCUGGGGCUUAACUCUGGGCUUGCGGUCGAUACGGGCAUCACUUGAGUUCGGCAGGGGAGACUGGAAUUCCUGGCGUAGCGGUGAAAUGCGCAGAUAUCAGGAGGAACACCGGUGGCGAAGGCGGGAUCCUGGGCCAGUACUGACGCUGAGGAGCGAAAGCGUGGGGAGCAAACAGG